CCUACAUGUAAAACAGGGCACGCGUGACUCUAUACAGCCCCAAAUGCAGCAGAGGUAUACGUGGGAGAGAUUUAGGUGUUAACAGCAUCAUCCAGUUCAGUUUCUAUGUGGAUGUUCUUACAUCCAGCAUGGCCUGCCUUAACCCCCUAACAUGGAACUGUGUAGCCACGUGCCUGCUCGGAGUUUCUCUGUGAUGUGACUACUGUCCCUACACCAGAUGGUGGCAAAGGAGGAUGGCAAACUCUCCUCCUGCGGGAAAUGGCAGCAGAGAACUGAAUCUACCAUGCAGGUUUACUUUCACUGUAGUGCAUCAGCCUGUGUCUCAGCUACUAUGAAUCCUAACCUUCUGAGAGGUUCCCCUGUCUUCAUCCAGCCUGCAGUUGGGACUGGUCAACUAAUGCACAGUAUUGUGUUUUUCCAAAGGGCAUCAACCAGGUAGGAGCUCCUAGUGUGAAAACUUGCCUAAGGAACUUUAAUUGCAAAGUUCUUGUGCCAGUAAAUAAAAGAGGCUGUGAGGUCA
rnacentral:lncRNA from 1 species